UACGUAGGGCGCAAGCGUUAUCCGGAAUUAUUGGGCGUAAAGAGCUCGUAGGCGGUUUGUCGCGUCUGCCGUGAAAGUCCGGGGCUCAACCCUGGAAAGCCGGUGGAUACUGCCGGGCUAGAGGGUGGUAGAGGCGAGUGGAAUUCCCGGUGUAGCGGUGAAAUGCGCAGAUAUCGGGAGGAACACCAGUAGCGAAGGCGGCUCGCUGGGCCACACCUGACGCUGAGACGCGAAAGCUAGGGGAGCGAACGAGG
rnacentral:rRNA from 1 species